rnacentral:lncRNA from 10 species
UCAUGGAAGUCACAUUUAAUUGCUUCCUCUUACUAUAUAUGGUAGGCUGGAAAUGGUAUCAUGAAGCUAAUCUUGUAAUCCUUUUCUUCCUGAAAGGAGAACAGUGGAAUUCUGUGAACCAGAGAAAUGUAGGCAGCUGGGAGUCGAACUUAAGCACCAGUAUGAAUCUAUGGUUAUCAUCCAAACUAAAGGGAAUGAAAGCUUUACUCUGAAGGAACUGGGUCCGGUGCCAGGACCUGUGAUAGGUGCUGAGAGAGGUCAGUGAUUGGCUGUGGCACCUGCCCUUAUGCUGUGUACUCUCUG